rnacentral:rRNA from 1 species
AGAGUUUGAUCCUGGCUCAGGACGAACGCUGGCGGCGUGCCUAAUACAUGCAAGUAGAACGCUGAAGAGAGGAGCUUGCUCUUCUUGGAAGAGUUGCGAACGGGUGAGUAACGCGUAGGUAACCUGCCUUGUAGCGGGGGAUAACUAUUGGAAACGAUAGCUAAUACCGCAUAACAAUGGGUGACCCAUGUCAUUCAUUUGAAAGGGGCAACUGCUCCACUACAAGAUGGACCUGCGUUGUAUUAGCUAGUAGGUGAGGUAACGGCUCACCUAGGCGACGAUACAUAGCCGACCUGAGAGGGUGAUCGGCCACACUGGGACUGAGACACGGCCCAGACUCCUACGGGAGGCAGCAGUAGGGAAUCUUCGGCAAUGGGGGCAACCCUGACCGAGCAACGCCGCGUGAGUGAAGAAGGUUUUCGGAUCGUAAAGCUCUGUUGUAAGUCAAGAACGAGUGUGAGAGUGGAAAGUUCACACUGUGACGGUAGCUUACCAGAAAGGGACGGCUAACUACGUGCCAGCAGCCGCGGUAAUACGUAGGUCCCGAGCGUUGUCCGGAUUUAUUGGGCGUAAAGCGAGCGCAGGCGGUUUGAUAAGUCUGAAGUUAAAGGCUGUGGCUCAACCAUAGUUCGCUUUGGAAACUGUCAAACUUGAGUGCAGAAGGGGAGAGUGGAAUUCCAUGUGUAGCGGUGAAAUGCGUAGAUAUAUGGAGGAACACCGGUGGCGAAAGCGGCUCUCUGGCUUGUAACUGACGCUGAGGCUCGAAAGCGUGGGGAGCAAACAGGAUUAGAUACCCUGGUAGUCCACGCCGUAAACG